UGUGAUAAAAUAAUAAUCUUUAUUUCACAGAAGUACAAACGUAUAAAGUAAGAAAAACAGCUUAUAUUGUCGUAAACCAAAGCAGAGAAAUACACUAUGUACAUCUAUAAUGGACGUGCUGACGUUCAUAUCUUUAACUCUGGUCCAGGGCGACGCUGAGAACAUUACCAAACCACACCCUGGACCAGAGCUAUUUUUCUCUAUAUAAAACCACCAGCGUUAGCCCCUCCCUUCCACACUGCUCAGCAGUACUCGACAUGGACUGAAAUAGGUGUCGUUACUGUUUAUAUUCAGGUGCAGGAGCUCCACAAUACAUUUGAGUUGAUAUUCUAUAAGAGGAACGGGAGCUGAAGCCGUAGAACAUUUGAGGUGCUGGUACUCAGCUCCAGCCCAAGUCGAGGACUGCUGCUCAGCCAACAGUUAUGCGCAUCAAGAAAUAAAGAAAAUACGAUACACUAAUACAUUGUUAACAGAAAAGAUACAGACAAACAUAUAUAGCCUGGUCCAAGACAUAUACAGUACCGGUCAAAAGUUUUAGAAAACCUACUCAUUCAAGGGUUUUUCUUUUCAUUUGACUAUUUUCUACAUUGUAGAAUAAUAGUGAAGAGACAUCAAAACUGAAAUAGUGAAGACAUCAACACUGAAAUAACACUCCAAUGAAUUUAUCCUUUGCUGCAGAGGUAACUCUGGGUCUUCCUUUCCUGUGGCGGUCCUCAUGAGAGUCAGUUUCAUCAUAGAGCUUGAUGUUUUUUUGCGACUGCACUUGAAGAAACUUUCAAAGUUCUUGACAUUUUUCGUAUUGACUGACCUUUAUGUCUUAAAGUAAUGAUGGACUGUCACUUCUCUUAUUUGAGCUGUUCUUGCCAUAAUAUGGACUUGGUCUUUUACCAAACAGGCUUCUUCUGUACACCACCCCUACCUUGUCACGACACAACUGAUUGGCUCAAACGCAUUAAGGAAAAAAAUUCCACAAAUUAACUUUCAACAAGGCACACCUGUUAAUUGAAAUGCAUUCCAGGUGACUACCUCAUGAAGCUGGUUGAGAGAAUGACAAGAGUGUGCAAAACUGUCAUCAAGGCAAAGGAUGGCUACUUUGAAGAAUCUGAAAUAUAAAAUAUAUUUUCAUUUGUUUAAACACUUUUUUAGUUACUACGUGAUUCCAUAUGUGUUAUUUCAUAGUGUUGAUGUCUUCACUAUUAUUCUACAAUGUAGAAAAUAGUCAAAAUAAAGAAAAACCCUUGAAUGAGUCCAAACUUUUGACUGGUACUGUAUGUACAUUUUCAUUUGAUACAUUUUAGAAUAAGGUUGUAACGUAACAAAAUGUUGAAAAAGUCGAGGGGUCUGAAGAUUUUCCGAAGGCACUGUAUAUAGCCUGGGUGCCAACUCCAAUGUUAUUUUCAAGCCAAAAGGCAAUUCCAUAAGAAGUUGUCAAGAGCCUGGCACACAGGCCAGGGUAUAUCAAGAGCCAGGCCAGGGUAUAUCAAGAGCCAGGCCAGGGUAUAUCAAGAGCCAGGCCAGGGUAUAUCAAGAGCCAGGCCAGGGUAUAUCAAGAGCCAGGCCAGGGUAUGUGUAUUAUUAUAUUGCCCUGACAUGGACUUUGUUGGAACGUUGAUACUAGAAACAGACAAUAGAACGAUGCAGAAUUCGAUUGCAUUUUCUUUACCAUUCAAUUAUUACAUUGUAAUUCUGCGUUGUUUUGGAAAAGGGCUCGUCAGUAAGCAUUUCACAGUAACGUCUACAUCUGUUGUACAUGGCACGUGACAAAUACACUUUGAUUUGAUACCAUUUUUUUCCCAAUAAAUGGUUUGUCUUUACCAAUACUAGAAGGGCUUCAAACAAACAAGCAUGUUGUGUUGAGACAGUGUCCCGUGAUAAGUUGUCCUGUUCUCACGACUAAGACGAUUGCUUUAACAUAUACCCAGUGCUUGAGAUGGAUUGAAAUAGGUGUCGGUACUCAUUUUGGUUGCCAGUACUGCUUAUAUUUAGGUGCAGGAGUUCCACAAUACUUUUGAGAUAAUAUUCAAUAACAGGAACAGGAGUUCAAGCAGUUGAACAUUUCAGGUGCCUGUACUCGGCUCCUGUGAGCUCCUGCCCAAGUCCUGCAUAUACCUUAGAGCAAGGGGGGAGGGGGGCAAAGUACGGCCCGCGGGGCAGUUCAAUCUGGCCCACGAGACAAAAAGAAAAAUAAUUUAGCCCUUUCUUGUCCCAUCGCUGCAACUCCCUUAAGGACUCGGGAGAGGCGAAGGUCGAAACACGACCCAGCAUCCUCCGAAACACAACCCAGCCAAGCCGCACUGCUUCUUGACACAAUGCCCGCUUAACCCGGAAACCAGCUGCACCAAUGUGUCGGAGGAAACACCGUACACCUGGCGACCGUGUCAGCGUGCAUGCGCCCGGCCUGCCACAGGAGUCACUAGAGCGCGAUGGGACAAGGAAAUCUUGGCCUGCCAAACCCUCUCCUAACCCGGACGACAAUGGGCCAAUUAUGCGCCGCCUCAUGGGUGUUUUAGUCACGGCCAACUAUGACACGGCCCGGGAUCGAACCCGGGUCUGUAAUGACGCUUCUAGCACUGCGAUGCAGUACCUUAGACCGCUGCGCCACUCGGGAGGCCCCCGCAAAUUGAUUAUAACAAACAAUUGGUCCCCCAAAAAAUGCAUCCCUCCGUUGAAUUUCAAAAUCCCGAUGUGGCCCUCGAGCCAAAACUGAAAAUCAUGUCUAAAGUCUCCCUCCUUUUGAAGAUGAGGCAGUGAUGAUACCACAGCUACAGAAGAAUCUGUCAGCCUAUUUCUGGUAAGAUGUUAAGAGCAUUGUGUUGAAACAGACUUGAAGCUUCUCUUCAAACAAACGAUCGACUUCUUUUACCUUUUAUAGAUAAUGACAUUAUCCAACCAGACUGUACACCACCCCACCCACAGGACCAUGUGGACAACACCAGUAGACUACCCCACAUCACAACAACCUUAACCCUAUCUCUAACCAUCACAACAACCUUAACCCUAUCUCUAACCAUCACAACAACCCUAACCCUAUCUCUAACCAUCACAACAACCCUAACCCUAUCUCUAACCAUCACAACAACCCUAACCCUAUCUCUAACCAUCACAACAACCCUAACCCUAUCUCUAACCAUCACAACAACCUUAACCCUAUCUCUAACCAUCACAACAACCCUAACCCUAUCUCUAACCAUCACAACAACCCUAACCCUAUCUCUAACCAUCACAACAACCCUAACCCUAUCUCUAACCAUCACAACAAGCCUAACCCUAUCUCUAACCAUCACAACAACCCUAACCCUAUCUCUAACCAUCACAACAACCCUAACCCUAUCUCUAACCAUCAC
rnacentral:lncRNA from 1 species